rnacentral:lncRNA from 1 species
AGAAAUUUUAAAAUCUAUUACAGUCUGAACUUUAAUAUAAUGUACAAUGGUAGUUAUGUUGAUUUCUCUCUCGUAAAAUCGACGGAAAUAAUUUUGAUUUAAAGGUGCUUGGUAUGGCAACGGAGAUGCUGUUGAGGGUAAAACUGCGGAGUCGGUGUUGUACGACGUGUGUGAACGCUUUACAACGCGCGACUCACGCAAAUCGCAGACUUUUUGACAGGUCGCCUAUAAAUAUUUUAUGACGUCAGCAAGCGCCGAGUCCCCCGUUAAUCCUUUCAAUUAUCAUUAUUUGUUCUCGUUCGCCCAACUUUUUGACCUUUCUUCCGAGCUUUCCUCCCCCUCCCGUCCGCGAGCGCACCCUUUCGAAGUCGCGGCAAGGAGCCGUAAAUUUUCUUUGACGCGUCUUGCCGACCAACUCCAAACUCUAAGAAACACAGAAGCCAUAUUAAAAGCACAUCGUGCAAUAUCCCUCGAAUUUUGUACGGGAAAGUAUAGUGUUAGGUAUAACUUGGCGUCAUUCACGAGGUUGUUCCCUUCAUUAGUCCCCGAGGUGCAUGCCGUUCACAUAUGAGAAGCUGUUUUGUAUUUUUAUCGCUGCCUAUCACGCAGGGGCAGAGGUUAACAUGGAUCAUAAAUGUACGGUAAUGAGUAGAAACUUCACAGCGGUAUUUUUCGACUUAGAAACUACUGGUCACUAUAACCGGGAUGAGAUAAUACAAAUUGGAGCCAUCACUAAGGACAAGAUUUUUUGCAGGUAUAUGCUUCCUACGAGUGAGAUCACAGCACGCGUCGCUGAAGUGACCGGAUUCACUAAGGUGGGAAAUAAACUUCGCUACCGUGGCGAAGUCAAGGAGACGACAACACUGAAGAAGGCGCUAGAGGAUUUGCUAGAGUAUCUAGGACAGUUCAACAUGCCCGUCAUCAUGGUCGGACAGAAUUGUCUCACUUUCGAUUGUCGUUUCAUUGUCAAAGGCUUGAAGCAGCACGGCCUCCUGGAUCAAUUUGCCAGGAUCGUGCAGGGCUUCACCGACUCAUUGCCCCUGCUGAAGAAGUACCUGCCUGGUAGAUCAUCGUACAAUCAGAAAGACCUCGCCGUCGAUAUCCUCGGCCCAAGCUCGAAUAUGAUGGCUCAUGAAGCUCUCGCUGACGCUACUACGCUCAUCUCUAUUUUCCGGAAAGAAAAAGUACCACUCUCUCAAAUCUUCGAGUUUGCCCGCUCUAUAAAAGACGUGCUGAAAAGAGAAGAUACUCGAAUAACGGCGCAGAGUAAUCUGUUGACUCUUGGAACCUUGAGGCCACUCAUCAAGGACUCAAUGCUCAGAAAAAUGGCCGAGGCAGGACUUGACCUGGAAGAUUUGAAAAAGUGUCUCGAUGCAGAGGGCCCGGAAGGAUUAGCACGGUACCUCUCCGAAAUUUUAGAAGAUGGCAAGCCUCGCGUCACGCUUAAUAAACGGAUUUUGAAGGACAUCUGCGAUGCAGUGAAGCAAGCCGUAAGCAUUAGGCAAUAAAUCUUGGAACAUUAGCUUUGAGUGCACAAAAGACCGAUAGGAACAAAAUUCACAUGCCAAGAAAGUCAUAUGAAGCUCUGUUUUGAUCAGGAAAACAUUUUUCUUGAAAUUUGACCUAGAAAAGUGCAUUUUUUCCGAAAAAUGCACAUUUCUAGGUCAAAUUUUUCAAUGAAGUUAUAUCAUCUUAGGUUUAGAGCAAUUAAAAGUAACUUGCUGUUAUUAGGGUGUAGGGAAAAAACUAGAUUAAUAAUCGUGUGUAACGGCAGUUGCCUAAAAAACCUAGAGGAGUACAAUUAUUUGCUUCUCCAACAGAAACCUUAUGAUGCUUUUAUUUACGCUCUGAACAUUUCUUUCCUUUUUAAAACUCGUUUCUUUCCUGGUAAGACCGAGACUUACACCCAUGGUCUUAGAAAGCGAAUUCCUGGAGGCAAGUCUCCGUCUUCCCCUUUUCUCAAACCAGAGACGGAAUCAAUUAUUCACCGGUAAAAAGUCUUGGACUACUCCCUGUUUGCGGCGCUUAUUCCGAGGGCUUUUAGAUGAGAUAAUGGGUCAACGGUAGGGUUGCUGGGGUCCUACUUGUUGACCCGGCGGCGCGGCGAGGCGCGAGUCCCCAGGGCCCUGUGACAUUAUUUGCCUUCUGAUUAGCCGUCAUCCCUUACGUUGUGCCCCCCCCCCCGGCCCUCGGGACCCUUGCCUCCGCAGACGUGCCUGGCUUUUUGCCUAUCCUUUUUUCAACCUCUCAUUCCCGCAAUAAGUGACAGAAAUACCAACCGGAAGCCACAUUGAUUCCUUGCGUCUCGAAGAAGUUCCGUGGAAAGCUUCAUUAAUUUACAUGUCUCCGUUCUACCUUUUUUUUAUUUUGUUAUUUUUAUUCAUCAUUCCGAUAAAUACAUGUUACAAAAAUACAUGGCUGACACUAUUAAAACGUUGCUAAGAGGUUUGAACCUCGUUUGGUACAAGUAGUAAAUCUAUAACAAUUUUUUAUCACAACUAUGAAAAUCACAUUCAGCGAUUGGCGCCCUACCCUAAUUAGCAUAUUUUUACAGUGUAUAACCAACAGUGACCAAAAAAAUAUAUACAUCAUAUACAUUAUUAUGUGAUGCGCAUAUGUCUAACAAAUAGGAAUAGCGGUAACCGAUUUGGUGUCUUUGUGUAAAAAUGACAUAAUCCAAAAUGACAUAAUUUUUAAAUGUAAAAUCUAUCACACAUAAGUCUCACGUGUGACUGAGUAUGAUAUUUUUACUCCAAUUUUCAUCAAUGGGUAUAUUUCUGGAUUCACCGCCUCUUCAUUCGAUAAAUAUAUUCAUAUAGAGUUCAAAUACACUACCAAUGGGCAAAAAACAUUACACUGAUGACUACUAUUAUUAUAAUCCAUCUUACUCCAAUAAUUCUACUGACGCAUUUGUCAUGAAUCAGAGACAAAAAUGUUAAGGAAAAAACGAUUUAUUCGAAGCGGAAAGUGAAAACCCUCUAAGUUUCGAAGCAUUUUCAUCGCGAAAAAUGAGUACUGAAAGCUAGAAACUUGAGAGUUUAUCGGCAACUUUUCAGGAAAGAGAGGGUUCCAUGCACGAAAAAGCUAUAGAAAGAGGCAAAAAUGCUGCGUUUUCGUCGCAGUCAUUUCAUACAGUCGGUAACAUACGUGGUAUGCACGGUGGAGGAACCCACUGGGAAAUAUCAAGUGAUCUUUUGUCAAAACAUAAGAGAGAUUUACUCUGCCGACGCAUCAAACAUUUAUAACAGUCCUUUUUGCCCUUGUUGCCAAACGAAGAAAGAAAUGUCACUCGACAAAAGUUUGGUAAAUGUGCAGAACCACGGCUAAACGUGGUCCACAUUUACGUUGAUACUGUAAGAAUAAAAAUUCAGUCAAAUUUCAUAAUUUACGUCAAACAAAAAUGCCUUGAAUCUAUUCAUAACCAAUAAAGUAUUCCAUGUAAGCAUUGAGCCGCGGUCCUCACCCGUGGAAGACGGAAAAUUAGUUCGUGUUUUGGACCUUGUCCACACAAGCGCAGGUAUAGGACUAUUUGGAUUGCAUUUUGAAAAAAGGAACUACUAGCAUUGCAAUGAUGCUAAGAUUGUGCAACUUCAUCUUUUGCAAUAAAAUUGCGGAAAUCGUGAAAAACUAUGAAAUUUAGAUGGUAAUAUGUGUCUUAAAUUUACAGUUUUUAGCGAGUAAAAUAGAAACUAUUAAUGGAUAAUCGGGUUUUUCCUCCAAGACAAAAGAAGUUGCACAAUCUUAGCAACAUUGCAAUGCUAGUGGUUCCUUUUUGCAAAAUGCAAUCCAAUUAGCUCCACGAACUAAUGGUUCCAGGAAGAAAGUAGGUAUAGCCAAGUUCCUCAGUUUCUGGAAUAAGUUCGCCUGAAGUUCCGUGACCUGCAAUCGUGCAGACAUAGGCAUAAAUUUUUGUGAAAUUUUAUGGGCCGAGUAAAAAGGGCUUUUGUUGAAACCUUGCGUUGGAUUGUUUCUUAAAAACAGUGGAAUCUAAAAGAGGAAAUAAACAUUCAUUUACACACAACUAGGGUAUUUUUUUAUCCUCUUUUCUAUAAAUGAUUACAUUUUGAAUGAUUAUAAUUGAUUUAAUUUAUAAAAGAUGGAAAAAGUUAAACGCCUGCCACAAAAUUACUUAGUGAACGCAUCUAAACUACACACCUUCAUUCGAAGGUACAAGCAACACAAGAUCCCAAGCGCGCGAAAGGUGGUAUCCAAUAUCAACCGGUUGUUUUCAAAAGAGACAAGGAAAACUGGAUGAUGGAUGCUGGCAAAUUGCGGACAGUACACAUUACGGUGUAAGAAAGGCAAAAAUAUGUAUUACUUUUGCAUAUCUUUGUUCAUUUCUUUUCGUAGCUGGGUGGAAAAAGGUAAUGAAUUUUAAAAUCAUGAAUCACGAACUUUUCCGAAAUUUUUCAAAAUUGUUAUAAUAAAAUUACAAAAAUAUUUCAAAUUGUUGAUAAUCAGCCCGAAUAAUUUUAGAAACGCUGCCAAUAAUGCUUAGAGGUAUCGUUUUACUUGUGCUCAUCACUCGUGCUUCAUAUAUGAGACAAAGGAUUAAAAAUCAAGAGAGGGGAGGGGAAAUCCGAAUUUUUUGGCGUCGUUCAAAAUUUUCCACUGCGGGUUGCAUAGUGCAUACCAUACCCAUGAAGUAAAUGCCUUAUAUUUUUCAAGAAAUUUACGUCUCGUGAAACCUCACGAAACAUUCCACGAAAGUUUCUUUCGUUUAAGACCUCCUUGCUCGGUAGCCGGUGAAAAUGUUACAACGCUGUGCGUACCCUUCGUCGAGUUCAUAAACAACCCUAUCCCUGGUCCGCGUCACCCUCUGUCCAUUUUUCUGCGAUACAAGCUCUCUUUCUCCCGUUUCCUCAUUCACAUUUGUCAUAAUCCCACCGUCCCGAUCCCUCCGCCCCCACCCCGCUCCGACACACUUUCGACGUCUUCGCCAUGAAUUUUGAAUGAGGCCGCCGCCGAGGAAACUCCCUUCAGCUCCGCAUCUCGCUCAGAUUUUGAGGCCGCCGUUGACCAUGUAAUUUAUUAGC